AUUGAACGCUGGCGGCAUGCCUUACACAUGCAAGUCGAACGGCAGCACGGGGGCAACCCUGGUGGCGAGUGGCGAACGGGUGAGUAACGCAUCGGAAUGUACCCAGUAGUGGGGGGAUAACUAGUCGAAAGAUUAGCUAAUACCGCAUACGCACUGAGGUGGAAAGCGGGGGAUCGCAAGACCUCGCGCUAUUGGAGCAGCCGAUGUCCGAUUAGGUAGUUGGUGGGGUAAAGGCCUACCAAGCCUGCGAUCGGUAACUGGUCUGAGAGGACGACCAGUCACACUGGGACUGAGACACGGCCCAGACUCCUACGGGAGGCAGCAGUGGGGAAUUUUGGACAAUGGGCGCAAGCCUGAUCCAGCAAUGCCGCGUGUGUGAAGAAGGCC
rnacentral:rRNA from 1 species